GCCAGGUGUGGUGGCGCACGCCUGUAAUCCCAGCUACUCAGGAGGCUGAGGCAGGAGAAUCGCUUGAAGCUGGGAGGCGGAGGUUGCAGUGAGCCGAGAUCGCGCCACUGCACUCUAGCCUGGGUGACAGGGCGAGACUCUGUCUCAA
rnacentral:SRP_RNA from 2 species